AACUAACGCUGGCGGCGUGCUUAACACAUGCAAGUCGAACGAGAACGGAUUAUAGCUUGCUAUAAUUGUCAGCUAAGUGGCGCACGGGUGAGUAAUGUAUAGAUAACCUGCCCUCUAGAAAGGAAUAACAGUUGGAAACGACUGCUAAUGCCCUAUAUGCCUUUAAUACAUAAGUAUGCAAGGGAAACGCUUUAGUGCUAGAGGAUGGGUCUGUAUGGUAUCAGUUAGUUGGUGAGGUAAUGGCUCACCAAGACUAUGACGCCUAACUGGUUUGAGAGGAUGAUCAGUCACACUGGAACUGAGACACGGUCCAGACUCCUACGGGAGGCAGCAGUGGGGAAUAUUGCACAAUGGACGAAAGUCUGAUGCAGCAACGCCGCGUGGAGGAUGACACAUUUCGGUGCGUAAACUCCUUUUAUAUAGGAAGAUAAUGACGGUACUAUAUGAAUAAGCACCGGCUAACUCCGUGCC
rnacentral:rRNA from 1 species